GGGCCGCUAGCUCAAUGGUAGAGCAGAUGCCUCUUAAGCAUCCGGUUACAGGUUCGAAUCCUGUGCGGCUCACCA
rnacentral:tRNA from 1 species